AGCAGCCAAUGCGGAGAGGACCAUAGGCCGGCCCCACCAUGAGACAUGACGCUCCUCACUGGCCCAUAGCGCCAGGGUGCACAAGACAUACUGCGGGAAUUGUGUCUGAUUUGACCCCACCACACCAAGGACUACUAUCUGAUUCAUGGACUUGAGUUCGACUGGGCUGGGAUGCUUUCUUGAUAUGCAACUACUUCUUGACGUAACGCUCUUUCCUACACACAUGUGAGCGUCACUGGGUCUGCUUCUCUAGCCAGCGCAGCCUCAGACAACAGAACGCACAGAUAAUCCAGUCAUGAGCUUUCCUAGGGACGUUGAAAAUCAGAAAUAUUUAGGAUAUAGUUAUUUUGUCGGGACCGCUUAUUAUCAGCUGUGCAUAUAGGCAUGCCUCCCGCUGGUCCUCGGACUUUCAGUCACAUGGCCCCGUGGCCCCGUCAUACUCUGGCAAGUGAUACAAAGCUCCUUUAACAUCAUCUAUAGAUUCCCACAGGCACUCCAGCUGGCCUUAAGUCUUAGCCUAGGUGCUUGGCUCUAGGUCUGUGGGUCAGUAAAUAUAGCUCCCUGAUGAAGUCCCUAGAGGUAACCCACUUUCCAAGCCACCCUGAUGCCCAGAGACAUCAGUUCCCCCUCCUCCUCCAGCUGGUCCUGAACUCUGCUCCCUCCGAGGCCAGUACACCUUGCGUGCCUGCAUGAACCAGGUUCUGAGUGCAGGAAUCUGUGAGUCCAGAAGACGUUUUUCACUCCUGGCUUUUUUCCUUAAUGGCAGCGAGAUCCUCUGUUCUUGCCUUUGAGAUGACUGAUUUUAUAGCGAGUUGGGCGGCAAAAUUGACCAAUUUCCAAUUAGAGUUCUUUACAUCCUAUUUGCAUGUUUCGACCCAGUCAUUUGGCGAGAGUUAAAAAACAACGAUGGCUAGAAGAGUCGUAUCAAUUAAUGUACAGCACCACCCUUCCCUUUUCGCAAUCUGAUAUGAGCAGCCAAGCAGUGAGAAGAUGAUUUUCUCUGGGGGUAUGGUCUGCAUUGAUGAUACAAACAAUUGUUCUGGCAAAGCUCAUUCUCUUUCAGAUCCUGCAGUCUUCUCAUAAUAUGACAUUGGUUUAUGGGACAGAAACCAGCAGAAGCCUUCGGCCUGUCCUCUGUCAUGCAGGUGUGUGCUUCCCCACCACCGCAACACUGGAGCUGGGGAAGGUCUUCAGUCUGUCAUCUGAUUCACCGCUUUGGGACUUUCCAACUCUGACAAUUGAGUGCGGCAUCUCCUCAUAAUUGCACAAACUAUGUCCUUGAGAGCACCCAGAGAGGAGCUAGUCGUUGUGCCUGGGGUGGCUAUCUGCAUGGUCUUCAGUUUGAGGCCACCAGGAGCUCUGCGGAAGAAAGACCGGGCUGUCCACUCUCCUAGAUCAGUUACAGUCUUGGAAACCCAAGAGGGCUUCUCUCGGAGUCAGCAUUGAGUCAGCAGCGUUAUCUAUAAGAAGUUUUCGAUGGCGCCAAGGCAUCGCCUGUGGAUGGCCAGCGCACUGCCUUCCAGAUGGGCUGCGAGGGAACCGUGGCUUCUCCGAGUCGCUCUCCCAGGCUCUGUCCCUGUGGCCGUCAUGGCCCAUGGAAAUCAAAGAGAACCUGCAUGCCAGAAAAACAGGAAGAACACCCAGGAGAUUCGCAAGGGAAAAAGAAAAGAGGAAGCAGAGGGAUUCUGAGAUCAUGCAACAAAAGCAGAAGGCAGCUAACGAGAAGAAGUCUAUGCAGACAAGAGAAAAAUGAUGACUGGCUAGUUUGGAAUACCUGGGUGCUCCUGCCAACUAGGUGUUUAUCAUAUGCUCUGAGAUCCAGAUUUUGUAGAGUGAACCAUCAUUACAUAUGCUAUAACUUAUCCUUAGAAAAUGGUCUGUUUUAAACUUUAUCUUUCCAUCUGAUGUAGUGUGAUGUUUUAGAACCAUUCUUCACAAAAUAAAACCCUAA